rnacentral:lncRNA from 1 species
UGGAGAGAAGGUAGACUCUGGCCUCAGGCUGAAGGCCGCGUCACUGUGAGAGUAGCGGUUGCUUUGACCACUGUAAGGUACAGGACCCGGGGCUGGUGCGCCUGCUCACAGGAACGCUGGUUCUCCCACCGAGACUGUCAACCCCUCAAACUGACUGCAAACGGACCUGGUCUAGGUGCGCUGCUGGCGAGAAUAUCAUUAGACAGUUUGGAGACUGAGCUGUCAAUCAGGGUGGAGUCGGGACUGCGACGUCUGUGUGGCUCUGAUAAAGCUCCACAGACAGGAAUGGCCCGCCGGAUGAGAGUGGAUUAACAAACACUGAUGUCUCUUCACAGUCAGGGAAUGAGGCUAGGUGAGGCCUUGGCAGAACCAGUCCACCUGGCAGCGGCUUGGUAAACUAACGUAAGGAGCCAAAUCAGUACUGUCUCCCCCGUCAUCUGAAUCCUAAAAGAGCCAAAGGAAACAAAGGGAUCCAGCUCCUUGUUUCCUUCAAGCCAUUAAAGGUUGCAGCCUCAAGCCUGGCAAGUGACAGAAGUGUGGUAACCAAAAAAAAAAAAAAAAA